AUCACUUCUUAGCCUUUUGGCUAAGAUCAAGAGUAGUAUCUCUUCUUAUCAGUUUAAUAUCUGGUAUGUCCUCUAUCCAAGAACGAUAUAUUAAAUGGAUUUUUGAAGCAGGGUGAUGGCAUAGGGGCUUGCUCUGUCCACUCCAUGGUAUUGUAGAACAGUGCACCCCCUCUGCGGAAAUACUCUGAUAU